GUCCGGGAUUUGAACACUGCUCGAACCUACCUACACAAAGUCUCGAUCCCCGAACCGAUAAUGACGUGACACUUGCGACCCGAAUCUACAACGAUUUCGACAGCCCGCAGUGAUUGUCAAUAUUGGCAUUGGUAUUAUUGACGUGACAAUAUUGUUGAUACACUCACAGGCAACACGUGCAUAAGCCCAUAUCUCGCGGGUAUAAAAUGCGCACGUAAAUACGCUCAGGGACAUUAUACACGUCGUCGGCGUAUCACCUGAAUUUUGUUUGAGAACAUAUUAUAUCAAAUUAUGUGCACGUAAGUAGGCGGUGUAUACACGAAGCCGUACAUCGACCGUGGUGGAAACGGUAGUGAAAUGGACCGGCACUUUAGCGUUACCAAGAUUCGGAAGUGGUCACUGGUCAUCGUGACCCUGAUAUUACUGAUGUACGUCCAAACAUAUAUGUCAGCUCCGUGCGGUUGUGGCUGUUGUGGCUGUGGCUGUGACUGUGGCUGUGGCUGUGGCUGUAAAGAAUGUGGCUGCGGCGGCUGUGGUUGUAGCGAAUGUGGCUGUGGCUGUGGUGGCUGUUGCUAAAAAAAUGUACUUUGAUCAAGAGAUUGGUUGAAAUCGAUACAACGAAACCGAAUUAUGAUAAUGGAUUUGAUAAAAUUGUACAUGGUCAAUUAUUUUUAUUUUUAAUCACAAUUCCGAUAAUCAUUAAUGAUCAACAUUUUUUUAUUUUUAUCUUUUGAUGAUAUUUUUGUUGAUUUGAAUAAUUUUAUCGUUUGGUUUAAUUAUCAUAUUAUGUUAUAUGUUUAUGAUCACUCAUAUAUGAAUUUUUCGGUGUUAAACCAGAUCAAUUUUUUAUAGUCUUAUAAAUAUAAAUUUCCAAUCCUUUCCCACGUAGAUAAAAUAAUAAUUUAAACAAAUCAAAAAUAUCAAAAAUUCUAAAGACUACGUGACGAUUGGAAUAAAUUUCACAAAAAACAUUUAUUUUUGCACAUUUUUUCAUGACUUGAAUAUUAAUUAGCUGUUUAUAAUAAUUAAUUUAAUAACUUGUGUAUCUAUCAAAUAAAACAAAUUAAAAAAAUGUUUACAACAAAA